ensembl:lncRNA
GUAAAAUGAAGUGAGAAUUGUGGGGGACAGAGGGCUAUUAACUACUCAACUGAACAGGGCACCAAGAGGUAAAAAGAAAGUGGAUAAAAUGGUUCAUCAGAAUUUCAGAUGGUGAUCCGUAAGCCUAGCUGAUAUGGUAAGACAGACAGUAUUUUCCAAGAUGACUACAACGAUAUCUCCAGUCUCAUUUGCUCUUCUCACAAUGAUCUACCUUAACACUUCCUACUGAGAGGUAAAGUCUAUGCUCCCUUCUCUAGAAUCUGGGGGGAACCUAUGAAUUAUAGACAAAGUGAUGCUGAGUGAUUUCUGGGACUAGAGCAUCAAAAGCACUAACAGCUUCUACCUGUUCCUCUUGAAAAGCUACUGUUGGAGCCCAAACAUGCUAUGAGAAGCCCAGGCCACACAGGAGGCUAAGUGUUUUAAAAGCAGCCCAUAGCCCUGCUGAGGUCCCAGCUAACAACCAGCUUCAACCAGGAGACAUGUAAGCGAGAGAUCCUUUGAUGGCUCCAGCUCCAGCUGCUCCUGACUGACUGCAUGAGACACUCCCAAUGAGAACCAUAUAAGCCUGGUCAACCCCCAGAAUCAUUCGAGAUAGUAAUAAAAUGACUGCUGCUGUCUUCAGCCACUAAGUUCCAGGGUGAUCCAUUACAUAGCAACAGACAAUAAUACUACAAGACAGUGCUACUUCUUGUGAAAAGUACAUUGAAAGCAGAGGACUAGUUCUCUGAGAAAGUUUUCAUCAUAGGAUGAAAAAGGUGGCAGGUCUAUAGCACUGGCUGGGAAAAGUAGCCACAGAUGAGGUGCAGGGCUGUAAGACAGUGAAAGGCUAUCUGUAUACAUCACAGGAUUCCUCUGUGAACCUCCAAACUGUCAAUAAAGUUACUACAUUUAUAGGACCCUUGGCUCCUCAAGGAAAGAGCUUUGUACCUACAAGGACUAGGGGGCAAAGACUUGAGCAGAGAGAGUGAGACCAUUAAGGAAGUCAAGUCAGGGGUCAUGGAGAGGGAACUGGACACCCACAGACCCCUAAAUCAUGCAGAGGCGUUUCAAGUCAAGUGUUGUAUUAUAAAGUUGGCUUUCCUUUUCAGUUAUAAAGAAUUUUUAAAUAAAAAAUGAUUUUUUAAAUUAAAAAAA